UACGUAGGGUGCAAGCGUUGUCCGGAAUUAUUGGGCGUAAAGAGCUCGUAGGCGGUCUGUCGCGUCGGCUGUGAAAACCCGGGGCUCAACCCCGGGCCUGCAGUCGAUACGGGCAGACUAGAGUGUGGUAGGGGAGACUGGAAUUCCUGGUGUAGCGGUGAAAUGCGCAGAUAUCAGGAAGAACACCAAUGGCGAAGGCAGCUCUCUGGGACGGUACUGACGCUGAGACGCGAAAGCGUGGGGAGCGAACAGG
rnacentral:rRNA from 1 species